CCUACGGGGGGCAGCAGUGAGGAAUAUUGGUCAAUGGACGAGAGGCUGAACCAGCCAAGUAGCGUGAGGGAUGAAUGCCCUAUGGAUUGUAAACCUCUUUUGUAAGGGAGUAAAACGACGCACGUGUGCCUUUUUGCGUGUACUUUAUGAAUAAGGAUCGGCUAACUCCGUGCCAGCAGCCGCGGUAAUACGGAGGAUCCGAGCGUUAUCCGGAUUUAUUGGGUUUAAAGGGAGCGUAGAUGGGUUGUUAAGUCAGUGGGUAAAGUUUGGGGCUCAACCGUAAACCGGCCAUUGAUACUGGUAGUCUUGAGUACAGGUGAGGUAUGCGGAAUGCGUGGUGUAGCGGUGAAAUGCUUAGAUAUCACGAAGAACUCCGAUUGCGAAGGCAGCAUACCAA
rnacentral:rRNA from 1 species